UUCACUUGUUGGUGAGGUAAUGGCUCACCAAGGCGUCGACGGGUAGCCGGCCUGAGAGGGUGACCGGCCACACUGGGACUGAGACACGGCCCAGACUCCUACGGGAGGCAGCAGUGGGGAAUAUUGCACAAUGGGCGAAAGCCUGAUGCAGCAACGCCGCGUGAGGGAUGACGGCCUUCGGGUUGUAAACCUCUUUUAGCAGGGAAGAAGCGAGAGUGACGGUACCUGCAGAAAAAGCACCGGCUAACUACGUGCCAGCAGCCGCGGUAAUACGUAGGGUGCAAGCGUUAUCCGGAAUUAUUGGGCGUAAAGAGCUCGUAGGCGGUUUGUCGCGUCUGCUGUGAAAUCUGGGGGCUCAACCCCCAGCCUGCAGUGGGUACGGGCAGACUAGAGUGCGGUAGGGGAGAUUGGAAUUCCUGGUGUAGCGGUGGAAUGCGCAGAUAUCAGGAGGAACACCGAUGGCGAAGGCAGAUCUCUGGGCCGUAACUGACGCUGAGGAGCGAAAGGGUGGGGAGCAAACAGGCUUAGAUACCCUGGUAGUCCACCCCGUAAACGUUGGGAACUAGUUGUGGGGUCCAUUCCACGGAU
rnacentral:rRNA from 1 species